rnacentral:lncRNA from 10 species
CAGAAUCAUCAUGAAAUAUCUUUGAAGAGAGAAAAGACAAGGGAAGAAAAGAAGAACGAAAUGAGUUCAGAGCUUUUUAGAACUGUGAGGGAGUGCGAAAAAAGAAAGGUGUAAUACUUUCAAACAGUGGAAGUUAAAAUGCCAGGCGUGUAAGCCUCAGUGAAAUUGAGCAGCAUCACGUCACCACGACUUGUGGUCCAGCUGUUUAUUGCAAAGACUCCAUCCUGCGUUACUCAUCAGAAAAUAGUUAACUUUGUAUCUGGCAUUAUUUUAAUUAAAAAAAAAGUUAACUUACUAGAUUUCUGUU